CCUCUCGGACCUGGGCAGCCUGCGGCAGACCGGACCGCGACCGCUGGGCGCAGCUCGGCCCGGGAGCGUUCGAGUCCCGCCGCCAGAGCAUCCUCCCGGCCCGGCGCACAGGUGUAGUUUUGAAGAGAACUAGAGGAAGGUAAUCCAAACAGAAGAUGCUCCAGGUGUAGAGGCCAUCAAAAGGGAAAGGAUAUUGAGUGGCAUCAUGCAAGAAUUGGCAAGAACAAGCACCUUAGGAAAGAUGCAAAAAGGGAACCAUGAAGAAAGCAGGUGAGCCAUAAACUGGAAAGAGCCUGGAUCCCAGCUUGGAAGGGAACAGCCUUGAAAAGUUGGCUGACCUAAAGACUUUAUCACUCUACUGAACAGGACCCAAGAAGAUGCCAUACUGAUACUGUCCUGUGUGGCCAAAAAAUCCACAGAAAAUACUCUUGCAUCAUUUUCCCUGGUAAUCUCUGGAAUAAAAGCUGGUUCCAAUGUGGCAGUGCUCUCAAGGCUCUGAUUCCCUAAACUGCCGAGACCAGCUCAGCAGGAUGGGGCUGAAGAACAGAUGUCAGCUCUCUCCUUGAUAUCUUCUGACUGCAGACUGCAGACAGUAAAAUACCUCCAAGGGGUAUCCUGGAAGAGCCCUCACUAGAAUUGAGCCUUAGAGGCUACGUGUCAAAGUUGGAAGAAGCCUGGCCCCUGAAUCGGUGCUCGGCAGAGAGCCUACUUCAGGUCAGAGGAAGGAGAUUUGGAGACAAGUGAGGAACGUCUGUAUUCCUGUAUCGCAGAGAAGGAAGAGGAAAUGAAGCUGAUGGGCCUUUUGGUGACAAUAGGUAAUAUACACCAACACACUUACAUGCAACAGAAUUUAGAUGGGCAAGUGCAGGACAGAAAUGAGUUGUAUACACUUGAAGAAAAAGCAGGAAAAUCGUAGCUCAAGAUUUCAGGGAGGUCUAAUAACAUAGGAGGGAGGCAGAGCAACUGAGCACCAGUGAGAAACUAAAGAGAAAUGAAAUAUUGAUGGUUGCAAGAUUUCUAGGCCUGGCAGUAUCUACUUUUGAACUGGAAAUUGCUUCUUAUCUGAUAUUUUAUCUACUGAUUCUUCACCAACCCAAUUUUCUACUAGAAUUUCAGUAAAACUUCAAUAUACAUGAAAGCUUUGUAUCCGUGAUAUUUUGGAUGAAAUGCAUGUACAAGGCAUGUAAAAGUCAAAAUCAUAUUGUUUUUAUAGAAAUUUUUCUUAUUGGAGUGCCAACUUUUAAGUAAUGAAUUCCUUAGUUUGAAAGGGACUUGGACAUUUUUAUGCAUAUAUUUUUGUAUACAAUUCUAUUGUCUUAAUGACAAAGGCCCCACCUAAAGACAUUGCUUGAUUGCAAUUGACACUCUUUGUUAAGAAACAUUGAUGCUUGUUAUAUCUUCAUUCACACAUUUUUAGGCCUAUUCUCUUCCAGUUAAACAACUUGUACAUGAAGUUUUCAGUCCUGGCAGUUUCGCAAGUUAAUUCACCCAUAUGAUAGCUGAAGUUGCCGCCACAAUAGCCCUGAAUUUUCUGAGUUCUGAGUCCUUCUCAGACUGGGGCCACUUAGCGGUGUCGACAUCCUUGUCUUUUACCUUUUACCUUGAGCCCCUCUGAGCUUGAUGAUCUCUAAAUCUGGCAGUGGAACAGGUGAGAGGAGCUGAGCAGCAAGGUCAGCAAAGGCCAGCUGAACCCCUCAGCUCCAUUCAUGCUGGUCAUUGAGAUGCCCAUGUUUGAACAUUGCAGAAGUCCUGAGAAGCGAUUUUUUUCAAAUUGUAAACUUUACCUUACUUAGCCCUUAGAUGCUCUGUGAAAUAGAAUUUUUAUCAUGAGCCUCACUAUAAAGAUGAAAAAACCGAGACUCAGACAAGGCUCCUGGUCAUGAACUAAUAUGUGGCAACCUAAGGUUGCAUUAGCUUGUUUUCCUGCUGUAUCUGCUCUCUGAUUCUUAAACAUCCUGAAGAACAAACAUGAUAGUUUGAAUUACAUCUCAUCAACUUUAUCCCCCUCUUCCUCUUUUCACUCUGGUGCAGUUGUUCAUGGGAUUUAGGCCAAAACAAAGUGAGAGGAGGGAAAAGGAAGGAGACACAGUGAGACAUGGUACCUAAGAAUUAACCACAUUAUCCUGGGAAUAGACCAGAGGUCCGUCCAUCUGAAAUCUUAGACUGCAAUUGUGAAUUGUGGAAAUUUUGUGAUCUCUUCAAAUAUUAAUGACUGAAAUAGAACAAAGCAGACAUACUCCUGUGACUUACAAGUUUGAGAUGCACUCAUCUCUACUUCCCCAGAGUCAAGUAUUUCAUAAACAUUAUUUAAGUCAUCCAACAGUUUUAUUCAUUCCACUUUGAAGUGGAAACAAAUCUGAAAUUCAAAAAGGCAGUAAAUUUAGGUCAAAGUCAUACUUGACUCUAAUGAAAACGGGUAUAAUUUAGUUGAGUUUCAGUUCAUCUGGGCAAAUGCCCAAGGGCAUAGCUUGCUAUGUUGCUAUGGCCUUCUGUGUGCUCACCUUCCUCCUUCUGAUCUCUCUACUUCCUCCUCCUCUUCCCUAAGUCCAUCCUUCUUGUCUCUCCAGCAUAAAACUCCCUGCCCAGUAAGUCCCUAUGUCUGAAGAGUAAAUAACAUACCCCUUAGUCUGGUAUUUCAUAUGUACCCCUAAUCUACCUUUUCAACUUCUACUAAACACUUUUUGAGCUCUGCACCUUCUCUACAUUUUUAGGUCUCCACACCUUUUCAUGUGAUGGUCCUUCCUCCUUGAGACCCCUGUAUUCGUCUCCAGUUUCCACAGGCCCUUUGCUUCAAGACACCUCCAUGACCUGUCAUUUAAGAAGCCUUCCCCAAUCUCUGCUUCUCCCAUUCCACAGCACUUCCUUCCCUCCUUUGCAUCCCUUUUUAUGAAGGUAGGGGAUAUCUGUUCAAGAUCCCUCUUCUGAAACCUGGCUGUCCUUACUUCUGUGGUUCCUUCAACAUCUGCUGUGAUUUUUUUUAAGUGGCAGUUCCUUUAUCUUUGUGCCUUCUUCUUGCCACAUUUAACUGGUCUAAAUUGAGGAAAACAAAAAACAAAACAAAACAAACGAAAAAACAAACAAAAACUGCACCAGGCUCUCUCUGGUGGCCAGAAUUGUUGGGAGUUAGUUUGGGGAGAUGUAAGUAAGCUGCCAUGUGCUUCUGCAGAGAAUAGUAGUGCCUAAGCUGGUGAUCAGUGAAAAGGGUGAAAAGGAGGAGAGGAGAGGAAUAAAAUGCUGGCAACAUCCAAGUCCUGCUUCCAGUGGUUUCUGGGUUGAACCUUCUUUGCAUUCCAUGAGCCAAUUUGCCAAUUAGUUACUCGUUGUCUCUUAGUUCCAACCCACCUGUCUGUAGUCUAUAAACUGCCUUUCCCAGACCCCUAUGCCAGCUGGCUCCUUGAUAGCUCCUGGGAGGCACUAGCGAGAGAUAAGAAAGCCCCGGAGGAGCAGGGCCUUCUUUCCUGGUCUCUGGUUGUUAUUAUCAGUGUCUUCCCAUUAGUGACAGUUAACUGUAGCUCUCAGCUUCCGUGGCACUCACUCCCAGUAGCUGAUUUAUCAUGGCCUCUCAGAGGGCUGGAAUGGGAGUUGCCCCUUACUCAAAGUCUGAGCAUCAACUCCACAGCUGCUGCUCGGAGAUCCAGGGUUCUGGAAAUGUCCCCCUUUUGUUUUAGUCCCCUGGCCUGGGGGAGACAGCUUCUUCCUGCAGUUACCAUCUCUGUUCCCUUUUUGCCCUUUCAGCCUUCCAACAUUUGUGAAACUAUUUCCUAAAUAUUAUUCCCUCAGAUAUCUAAUGGUGAUUUCUCUCUUUCUGACACAUACAUUAAA
rnacentral:lncRNA from 1 species